rnacentral:rRNA from 1 species
GCAUCCUACGGGACGCAGCAGUAGGGAAUUUUCGUCAAUGGGCGCAAGCCUGAACGAGCAAUGCCGCGUGAACGAGGAAGGUCUUCGGAUCGUAAAGUUCUGUUGAAGGGGAAAAAGAGCGGAGAGAGGAAAUGGUCUCCGAUUGAUAUUACCCUUCGAGGAAGUCACGGCUAACUACGUGCCAGCAGCCGCGGUAAUACGUAGGUGGCGAGCGUUAUCCGGAAUGAUUGGGCGUAAAGGGUGCGUAGGCGGUCUUUUAAGUCUGAUGUGAAAGCCUUCGGCUUAACCGGAGCAGUGCAUUGGAA